GACGAACGCUGGCGGCGUGCCUAACACAUGCAAGUCGAGCGGAGAUAUAUGGAAGGUUUACCGGAAAUAUAUCUUAGCGGCGGACGGGUGAGUAACGCGUGGGCAACCUGCCUCAUACAGGGGGAUAACACAGGGAAACUUGUGCUAAUACCGCAUGAAAUCAUAGUAUGGCAUCAUACAAUGAUCAAAGGAGCAAUCCGGUAUGAGAUGGGCCCGCGUCCGAUUAGCUAGUUGGUGAGGUAACGGCUCACCAAGGCGACGAUCGGUAGCCGAACUGAGAGGUUGAUCGGCCACAUUGGGACUGAGACACGGCCCAGACUCCUACGGGAGGCAGCAGUGGGGAAUAUUGCGCAAUGGGGAAACCCUGACGCAGCAACGCCGCGUGAAGGAGAAGGCCUCGGUGUAACUCUUGUAUAGGGACGAUAAUGACGGUACCGUAAAACAAGACCACGGCUAACUACGUGCCAGCAGCCGCGGUAACAUAACUCGUA
rnacentral:rRNA from 1 species